rnacentral:rRNA from 1 species
GACGAACGCUGGCGGCGUGCUUAACACAUGCAAGUCGAACGGUGAUGACAGGGCUUGCCUUGCCGGAUCAGUGGCGAACGGGUGAGUAACACGUGAGUAACCUGCCCCAGACUCUGGGAUAACCCCGGGAAACCGGAGCUAAUACCGGAUAUGACCCUUGUACGCAUGUGCUGGGGGUGGAAAGUUUUUCGGUCUGGGAUGGGCUCGCGGCCUAUCGGCUUGUUGGUGGGGUAGUGGCUCACCAAGGCGACGACGGGUAGCCGGCCUGAGAGGGCGACCGGCCACACUGGGACUGAGACACGGCCCAGACUCCUACGGGAGGCAGCAGUGGGGAAUAUUGCACAAUGGGCGAAAGCCUGAUGCAGCGACGCCGCGUGAGGGAUGACGGCCUUCGGGUUGUAAACCUCUUUCAGCAGGGAAGAAGCGGAAGUGACGGUACCUGCAGAAGAAGCACCGGCUAACUACGUGCCAGCCGCCGCGGUAAUAC